rnacentral:rRNA from 1 species
UACGUAGGUGCAAGCGUUGUCCGGAAUUAUUGGGCGUAAAGAGCUCGUAGGCGGUCUGUCACGUCUGCUGUGAAAACUCGGGGCUUAACCCCGGGCUGCAGUGGGUACGGGCAGACUAGAGUGCGGUAGGGGAGACUGGAAUUCCUGGUGUAGCGGUGAAAUGCGCAGAUAUCAGGAGGAACACCGGUGGCGAAGGCGGGUCUCUGGGCCGUAACUGACGCUGAGGAGCGAAAGCGUGGGGAGCGAACAGG